UUUCUUCUGGACUGCAGAAACCAGCACACACACAACCAAAGGCCACCAACAUGAGCUGCUGACCUCCAACUUUAAACUGAAGAAAACUGGCCAUAUGGGUGAGUUUAUGGGUUGGUUUCGAUACGUCUUGUUCUCUGUCUGGGUUUUUGAUGUUGCAAUGAUCUUUCUGAUUAUGCACUUGCAAAAGAAGACACAGCAGAUGUUUGACAGAGCAAAAAUAGAAGAGAGACCACAGAGAGCAGCCACUGACGCCAGACGACAAGAUGACGAUAUGGAAUAUGAAAACAUAUGAGAGAAAUAACACAGUCAGAAGGAAUUUCAAAGUCAAUGUAUUUUUUUUUUUCAU